CCCCUCGUAGUUCAAUGGAUAGAACUCCGAUCUUCUAAGUCGGAUAUGUAGGUUCGAUUCCUACCGAGGGGA
rnacentral:tRNA from 1 species